CCUACGGGUGGCUGCAGUGGGGAAUAUUGGACAAUGGGGGCAACCCUGAUCCAGCCAUGCCGCGUGUGUGAAGAAGGCCCUCGGGUUGUAAAGCACUUUCAGUGAGGAAGAACGCCUGGUGGUUAAUACCCAUCAGGAAAGACAUCACUCACAGAAGAAGCACCGGCUAACUCCGUGCCAGCAGCCGCGGUAAUACGGAGGGUGCGAGCGUUAAUCGGAAUUACUGGGCGUAAAGCGCGCGUAGGUGGCUUGAUAAGCCGGUUGUGAAAGCCCCGGGCUCAACCUGGGAACGGCAUCCGGAACUGUCAAGCUAGAGUGCAGGAGAGGAAGGUAGAAUUCCCGGUGUAGCGGUGAAAUGCGUAGAGAUCGGGAGGAAUACCAGUGGCGAAGGCGGCCUUCUGGACUGACACUGACACUGAGGUGCGAAGGCGUGGGUAGCAAACAGGAUUAGAUACCCUAGUAGUC
rnacentral:rRNA from 1 species